rnacentral:rRNA from 1 species
GUGCCAGCAGCCGCGGUAAUACGUAGGUGGCAAGCGUUGUCCGGAUUUAUUGGGUUUAAAGGGUGCGUAGGCGGCCCUGUAAGUCAGUGGUGAAAUACUCUAGCUUAACUAGAGGGGUGCCAUUGAUACUGCAGGGCUUGAGUACAGACGAGGUAGGCGGAAUUGACGGUGUAGCGGUGAAAUGCAUAGAUAUCGUCAAGAACUCCGAUAGUGAAGACAGCUUACUAGGCUGUAACUGACGCUGAGGCACGAAAGUGUGGGGAUCAAACAGGAUUAGAAACCCUUGUAGUCC